rnacentral:rRNA from 1 species
CAGUCGCCGCGGGAAUACGAAGGGGGCUAGCGUUGUUCGGAAUUACUGGGCGUAAAGCGCACGUGGGCGGAUAUUUAAGUCAGGGGUGAAAUCCCAGAGCUCAACUCUGGAACUGCCUUUGAUACUGGGUACCUUGAGUAUGGAAGAGGUGAGUGGAAUUCCGAGUGUAGAGGUGAAAUUCGUAGAUAUUCGGAGGAACACCAGUGGCGAAGGCGGCUCACUGAUCCAUUACUGACGCUGAGGUGCGAAAGCGUGGGGAGCAAACAGGAUUAGAUACCCCCGUAGUCCCUGUCUCUUAUAC